AUACCUUUUUUGGUCUUUUGGCUAAGAUCAAGUGUAAUAUUUGUUCUUAUCAGUUUAGUUUAAUAUCUAAUAUAUAGUCUAUAUGUUCACUUUGAUAUUAAAUUUAACACAUGCA
rnacentral:snRNA from 1 species